GGCGCGGCAGCUGCCGAUGCGCGGCGGCUGCUGCGACGGCCCGUACACGUCGGUCUCAGUCUAAUAUUUGCGCCGCGACCAAUGCGGAAGGCCGACCGUAUCGUCGCGACCGGAAGGGACGAGCGCGGGUGUGCCGC